GGAGCGCGUUUGACCGGCGGUCCCGGGAUGUGCUCCAGUUCUCCGCGACGGCAGUGCAGGAAGCCGGUGUGAGUCCGGCGCGGUCCCGCCACUGUCACCGGGGUGCACACCCCGGGAGCCAGACACUCGCUGCCGUCAUCACUCCGCC
rnacentral:ncRNA from 2 species